CGGGAUACCAUUCCGUCACCUUAUUGUAAAGUAUAAACCAUCCCGCCACCUUUUUAUAAAUCUUUAUGUAUAACAAUGGUAAGGCAGGAUGGUAUUUUUAAUUUACCGAAUACCAUCCCGUUACUUUUUUUUCUCCACUUCGAGCGCUGUAUACAUAUAUAUAUAUAUAUAUAUAUAUAUAUAUAUAUAUAUAUAUAUAUAUAUAUAUAUAUAUAUACAUAUAUAUAGGGAAGAUGGGAGGGGGUCAAUAUAAGUUGACGUCAAUAAUGUUACUUUUUUAAAAAAUUUAAUUACUUAAAGAAGAAAAGUUAGGCAGCGUUUGCAGUCCAGUGUUAUAUACUUGUCCUAUUUUUUAAAAAAUCAUUUGCUUUAAAAAGACCAGAAACAUACAGACUGAACAGAACCAUGUUGGGCUUUAAAAAGACCAGGCACACCAGACAGAACUAAAUAAGCACACAAGAAAUGUUUACUCGUAACACUAGCCUGUUGUUGGUGAGGUGUGUUGCUACAUUGACUGAGGGUUUGGCAUGGAUCAACUAUCUUUACUUUCAUUCUUCAAUUUCUAAAAAAGCCGUAAGCUAUCAAGAUAAGCAAAACAAAACAAUUAUGACUUUAUAGACAAUGUCGCACAAAAACUUUUUUUAGCGCUGUUGAGAAGAACAAGAACAUUUGGGCCAAACAUCUGAUGAUAAUUCAGCAGUCGCAUAAAAGAAGGGACAUUGUGCAUUUACAAGAAUUUUCACUCAAAGAAAAAUGCAGAAAACCACACAAAAGCCAACUACUUGGGCAAUACCAUUUUUUUGAAAAUCAAAAGAUGAAAAAAUUUCCUAACAAACCAUCUACACCAGUAUCAUACAUCUCUCAUCUAAUGAUAUUGAUAAGUGGUCGUGGAAACAUCUAAUGAUAUUGAUAAGAGGUCGUAAGGAAAGUGAAUAAAAAAUUAAUAAUGAUGAUAAAUAUACUUGCCCACCAGAAAAGAAACAUAACAAGAGCAGAGUAAUCACAGAGUUCUUCAGUAUUACUUGUAUCUGAUCUCAGCUAGAAAUAAAAAAUAUUAAAUAAAAAUACCUUGCGGUAGUUCUGCUGUACAAGAGGAUUUGGCUUCCUUAGGGGUUGUCAACAACUGACGUAAAGCGAUAGGGAGGCAGAGGGUUAAUAGUUUUGUAAUUAGUAACUGUUAUGUUUCCAAAAAGUAAGCAAAACAAAAUCAGCAACAGUAUCUUCAUUUUGAUGAAAGCACCUUAAUGAAAACGAAUAUGAGGUUGUAGUAUUGAAAAAAGAAAAAACGUGAAAUUAGCUGCAUGGUGCAGCUUGACACAACCAGUUUUAACACUGCUAAGAAGAAUGGUGUUGUUGUAAGACUUGAGCGAAAUUUUUUAGCGAGGGGUUUGACAAGCCGUUGUUUAUUUCUUGACAGCAUCACGUGCAUGAUAGGAUUCUGCGUGUGGUGAUGAAUAAGGGAAUUGGAGGAAGCACUAAGUCUCAAAACAUUGAGUAUCCUUUUGUACCUCAAUUGGUGAACAGUUAUAAGGAGUUGCAAUCAAAUUUUGUGAAUGGAACAGAAGUGAUAAGUCAGGCAAGAAAGAUGACAUAAAGUUCUUGCAUCAUCUGACACACACACACAAACAGAUAUAUAUAUAUAGAUAUAUCUGUUUGUGUGUGUCAGAUGACGCAAGAAUUUUAUGUCAUCUUUCUUGCCUGACUUAUCGAUUAUCACUUCUGUGAUAUAUAUAUACACACAACCUGAAUAUAGUAAUUUCUUUUUUCUAAAAUUUAUUAUUUAUUUUAUUAUUUAAUAAAAAGAUUGCUUGGUCUAGCCAAAACUCAUUAUGUUAUUCAUUAUGUUAAUGACAGUUUUAUUAAGUUAUUUGUUUCUGGAAUAUGUAUGAGCUUAAAUUUUGAAAGGAAUUUCAAAGCACAUUUCUAAA